rnacentral:rRNA from 1 species
CCUACGGGGGGCAGCAGUGGGGAAUAUUGGACAAUGGGGGGAACCCUGAUCCAGCCAUGCCGCGUGUGUGAAGAAGGCCCUCGGGUUGUAAAGCACUUUCAGUGAGGAAGAACGCCUGGUGGUUAAUACCCAUCAGGAAAGACAUCACUCACAGAAGAAGCACCGGCUAACUCCGUGCCAGCAGCCGCGGUAAUACGGAGGGUGCGAGCGUUAAUCGGAAUUACUGGGCGUAAAGCGCGCGUAGGUGGCUUGAUAAGCCGGUUGUGAAAGCCCCGGGCUCAACCUGGGAACGGCAUCCGGAACUGUCAAGCUAGAGUGCAGGAGAGGAAGGUAGAAUUCCCGGUGUAGCGGUGAAAUGCGUAGAGAUCGGGAGGAAUUCCAGUGGCGAAGGCGGCCUUCUGGACUGACACUGACACUGAGGUGCGAAAGCGUGGGUAGCAAACAGGAUUAGAUACCCUUAUAGUC